rnacentral:rRNA from 1 species
UACGGGGGGAGCAAGCGUUGUUCGGAUUUACUGGGCGUAAAGGGCGCGUAGGCGGCCAGCACAAGUCAGUUGUGAAAUCUCCGAGCUUAACUCGGAAAGGUCAACUGAUACUGUGCGGCUAGAGUGCAGAAGGGGCAACUGGAAUUCUCGGUGUAGCGGUGAAAUGCGUAGAUAUCAAGAGGAACACCUGCGGCGAAGGCGGGUUGCUGGGCCGACACUGACGCUGAGGCGCGAAAGCUAGGGGAGCGAACGGG